GGCGAACGCUGGCGGCGUGCUUAACACAUGCAAGUCGAACGAAGAGCGAUGGAAGCUUGCUUCUAUCAAUCUUAGUGGCGAACGGGUGAGUAACGCGUAAUCAACCUUCCCUUUAGAGGGGGACAACAGUUGGAAACGACUGCUAAUACCGCAUACGAUCUAAUCUCGGCAUCGAGGAUAGAUGAAAGGUGGCCUCUACAUGUAAGCCAUCACUGAAGGAGGGGAGUGCGUCUGAUUAGCGAGUUGGAGGGGUAACGGCCCAGCAAGGCGAUGAUCAGUAGCCGGACGGAGAGGAUGAGCGGCCAGAUUGGGACGGAGACCCGGCACAGACUCAUACGGGAGGCAGCAGUGGGGAAUCUGCCGCAAUGGACGAAAGUCUGACGGCGCAACGCCGCGUGAGCGAUGACGGCCUUCGGGUUGGAAAGCUCGGUUAAUCGGGACGAAAGGCCUUCUUGCGAAUAGUGAGAAGGAUUGACGGUACCGGAAUAGAAAGCCACGGCUAACUACGUG
rnacentral:rRNA from 1 species